rfam:Eutrema salsugineum unplaced genomic scaffold scaffold_9, whole genome shotgun sequence.
AAACCAUGAUGAGGGCAUUAGUUUGUAUAGUUUCUAAAUCUUUCCAAUGCUUCCCCAAAGCUCUCAAUGUUGUAUUGGGUAAAGCUUGAAAUUUGAUUCCUCAACUU